AACGAACGCUGGCGGCAUGCCUAACACAUGCAAGUCGAACGAGACCUUCGGGUCUAGUGGCGCACGGGUGCGUAACGCGUGGGAACCUGCCCUUAGGUUCGGAAUAACCCCCCGAAAGGGGUGCUAAUACCGGAUAAUGUCUUCGGACCAAAGAUUUAUUGCCUUUGGAUGGGCCCGCGUUGGAUUAGCUAGUUGGUAGGGUAAAAGCCUACCAAGGCGACGAUCCAUAGCUGGUCUGAGAGGAUGAUCAGCCACACUGGGACUGAGACACGGCCCAGACUCCUACGGGAGGCAGCAGUGGGGAAUAUUGGACAAUGGGCGAAAGCCUGAUCCAGCAAUGCCGCGUGAGUGAUGAAGGCCUUAGGGUUGUAAAGCUCUUUUACCCGGGAUGAUAAUGACAGUACCGGGAGAAUAAGCUCCGGCUAACUCCGUG
rnacentral:rRNA from 1 species